AUUGAACGCUGGCGGCAUGCCUUACACAUGCAAGUCGAACGGCAGCACGGGAGCAAUCCUGGUGGCGAGUGGCGAACGGGUGAGUAAUAUAUCGGAACGUGCCCAGUCGUGGGGAUAACGUAGCGAAAGCUACGCUAAUACCGCAUACGAUCUAUGGAUGAAAGCGGGGGAUCGCAAGACCUCGCGCGAUUGGAGCGGCCGAUAUCAGAUUAGGUAGUUGGUGAGGUAAAGGCUCACCAAGCCGACGAUCUGUAGCUGGUCUGAGAGGACGACCAGCCACACUGGGACUGAGACACGGCCCAGACUCCUACGGGAGGCAGCAGUGGGGAAUUUUGGACAAUGGGCGAAAGCCUGAUCCAGCAAUGCCGCGUGCAGGAAGAAGGCCUCGGUU
rnacentral:rRNA from 1 species